AUGGUUAGAGCGGUGGAUUCAUAACCCACAGGUCGGCGGUUCGAUCCCGCCUCCAGUCA
rnacentral:tRNA from 1 species